CUGAAGGUGGUGGGAUGUACAGCCUUGGCUAUAGACUAAAUAUCAGAAACAUGUAAAGAAAACAUUUUUUUUGUAAUAAUGUAUUUUCCAUGACAUUUCAACAUUAUCUAUAUUGUUGGCCAGCAUAUUCAAGUUA